GACGAACGCUGGCGGCGUGCUUAACACAUGCAAGUCGAACGGAAAGGCCCUGCUUUUGUGGGGUGCUCGAGUGGCGAACGGGUGAGUAACACGUGAGUAACCUGCCCUUGACUUUGGGAUAACUUCAGGAAACUGGGGCUAAUACCGGAUAGGAGCUCCUGCUGCAUGGUGGGGGUUGGAAAGUUUCGGCGGUUGGGGAUGGACUCGCGGCUUAUCAGCUUGUUGGUGGGGUAGUGGCUUACCAAGGCUUUGACGGGUAGCCGGCCUGAGAGGGUGACCGGCGACAUUGGUACUGAGAUACGGCCCAGAGUCCUACGGGGGGCAGAAGUGGGGAAUAUUGCACAAUGGGCGGAAGCCUGAUGCAGCAACGCCGCGUGCGGGAUGACGGCCUUCGGGUUGUAAACCGCUUUCGCCUGUGACGAAGCGUGAGUGACGGUAAUGGGUAAAGAAGCACCGGCUAACUACGUG
rnacentral:rRNA from 1 species